GAUGAACGCUGGCGGCGUGCCUAAUACAUGCAAGUCGAGCGAACAGACGAGGAGCUGCCCCUUCUGACGUUUGGGGCGAGGGGGGGUGAAACAUGGGAACACCUCCCGUAUAGGCGGGGAUCACUUCGGGAAACCGGUGCUUAUCGCAGACAAUAUAUUGAAGCAGACGGGUGAAUUAGGGAAGACGGUUUUUCCUGUUGCUAUAGGAUGGUCCGCGCCGCAUUUGCUAGUUGGGUAGGUAACGGCCUACCAAGGCAACGAUGCGUAGCCGACCUGAGAGGGGGACCGGCCACACUGGAACUGAGACACGGUCCAGACUCCUACGGGAGGCAGCAGUAGGGAAUCUUCCACAAUGGGCGAAAGCCUGACGGAGCAACGCCGCGUGAGUGAUGAAGGUCUUCGGAUCGUAAAACUCUGUUAUUAGGGAAGAACAAAUUUGUAAGUAACUAUGCACGUCUUGACGGUACCUAAUCAGAAAGCCACGGCUAACUACGUG
rnacentral:rRNA from 1 species